UAUUCUUCAAAAUUCGUGGGUCCAAAAUAUGCUAUUAUUUAUUCACUUUUGGAAGCCCAUAUAGAAGGGAUUUUAGUGUUUCUGAUGCCUUUUAUGUUCCUAUAUGGGUUGGGAGUCAAUUUGGCAUAUUUGACCACCAAAUAUUCUCCAAGAUCUUCAAAGAUUAUGGCCAGCAAAAAUAUAGACGAAUUUUGACUUGUCAACUCA
rnacentral:misc_RNA from 1 species